UUCGGAGAUGGCUAACGUUGCUCGGAAUCACUGGGCGUAAAGCGCGCGUAGGCGGCCCGGUAAGUCGGACGUGAAAGCCCCUGGCUCAACCAGGGAAUUGCGUCUGAUACUGUCGGGCUGGAGUGCCGGAGGGGAGAGUGGAACUCCUGGUGGAGCGGUGAAAUGCGUAGAUAUCAGGAGGAACGCCGGUGGCGAAGGCGACUCUCUGGACGGUCACUGACGCUGAGUGCGCGAAAGCCAGGGUAGCGAACGGGAUUAGAUACCCCAGUA
rnacentral:rRNA from 1 species